rnacentral:rRNA from 1 species
CCAUCAAAUAGAGGAGAUGGCUGGGCAAGAAAAUUGCCAUCUUAUACAAGGCCGUCCCCUUGAUCUACGUACUCCUAUAGAUGAAGGGG